UUUGACUCAUCUUUUAUAUACUUUUUCCUAUACUUUUGCAUUGAAUAAGCACACAAUUGAACAACUUUUAAGAGGUUCACAUUAUAUAUAUACCCACCUACCUAGUGAAAUAUCACCAUUAGAAGAAGAGCAUUCUUUCCUCAAAAUCAUGGAUAUGAAAAACCUCUUGAUUAUUUUGCUUAUUUUCUCAUUUGUUUUUGGAAAGCCUGUGGCAUUCAAAAUUCCGAAGCCAAAAAAGUGCAAAUUUGUUGAACCUGGUUAUUGUGAAAUUUGGAGGGGUUUCUUUUGCCAAGAAUUUUGCAUGAUUAAUUGUCCAUCAUUUACUGCGAAAGGAGUCUGUACCAAAGACAAAGCUUGUCAUUGUUCUUGUUGUAGAUAAAAUGUUAUUUACGACAAUGGAAUAUUCACUAUGUCAAUUGUAAGCUAAUAAUAAAUAAAUUAAUAAAAUGCUUCCAUUGCUCUA